rnacentral:rRNA from 1 species
UACGUAGGUGGCAAGCGUUGUCCGGAUUUACUGGGCGUAAAGGGCGUGCAGGCGGUUUGUUAAGUGCAGAGUGAAAGCUCCCGGCUCAACUGGGAGAGGUCUUUGCAUACUGGCAAACUCGAGGGAGGCAGAGGAAAGUGGAAUUCCCGGUGUAGUGGUGAUAUGCGUAGAUAUCGGGAGGAACACCUGUGGCGAAGGCGGUUCUCUGGGACGGUACUGACGCUGAGACGCGAAAGCGUGGGGAGCGAACGGG